GUCGCUCUGUUGUUCAGAGUUAUUAAUGAAACAUCAAGUAAAAGUAAAACCUCAGAAUUUCUUCGUUAUUGUCGUCAUCCUCAGUGUUUCCCUUAGCUUCAUCGUCACAUUCAAUAAUUCAAGCUUUCAGCGCAUCGUGAUUUUUUAUUGCGAUAACUCAUGAAUUUUAAAUUAAAUAAGGGACACAAUAUGUCUACUGGUAUCGUUAAGUGGUUCAACGAAGAGAAAGGUUUCGGUUUCAUUACUCAGGAUAAUGGCGGCGCUGACGUAUUCGUUCAUUUCCGUGCUAUCGCUUCUGAAGGUUUUAAAACUUUGGCUGAAGGCCAAAAAGUUUCUUUCGAAGUAGAGCAAGGUCAAAAAGGCCUACAAGCAGCUAACGUUGUAGCGCUAUAAGAAUUUAAGUUGGCGCAAAGAGUUAUAUACUAUUUGCGCCGCU
rnacentral:sRNA from 1 species